AGUAUAUAUACUUUAUAUAUACUAGAUCAUGCAUAAAAUAAUAGUAUAUAUAAAAUAAAGACAAAUUCUAACUACAAAAUUCAGGUAUAACUCUGAAUCAUAUCUAAACAUAUGUGAAUUUAAAUUGUGCUCCUUUGAACCAUAUUUAACUAUUGUCCUACUUGCUUAAUUUUUGUACGUAACUGUCUAAUUGAGCAUUCACAAUCUAAUAAGGUGCACACCAGGACUCAAACAGACCUCCUCUUAGCCCCUGAAGGGUAAAGGUUUUGUAUCACUUCCAGAUUUUCAAUUAGAUCCUAAUUACAACAUGCCUCAUUUAAAGCUACAGGAAUCCCGGCCCUGUCAACACUACUGGACCAUAACAUGUCUGUCUUAAUUAGAUCUGAUUAGUUCUGGGCCCGGCUUGCAUUGUGUACCCCGACUCCGUCAAAGCUGCUCAUCUGUUUGGCAGCUGCUGGUAUGGAAGAACCUUAUUCAUCCUGCUACAAGGGAGUAUGUGCCCUCACCUUCCUCUUCUGGGAUGCUGGGCCUUUGGAUACUCCAUAGUUCCACAGCAUCGGCCAAAUAACGCGCCUCACUUAUCACUGGCAGUGUGGUGAAGCUGGGAGCAGAAAGCUCAGUCGCUCAGGAGCUACUACUGGAAACGCUGGAAGCUUGUCUUUCUCUCCCAGUCAAUAGAUGUAGUCCCCAGCUUGCAGUGCAAACUGGGAAUGUGGUUUCCACUCUCAUUUCUCAGAGCCUAAGACCUAGUCUUGAAAAGCUUCUUAGUACACCAAGUUAUUUAGAUGAUGGGCUUCCAGUGAGAAAAAACUGAUACAAGCUUCUGAAGAUUCUGCUCAUUUAGUCCAAUAAAUACUAAUUAUGCAGCA
rnacentral:lncRNA from 1 species